UACGGAAGGCAGCAGUGGGGAAUAUUGCACAAUGGGCGAAAGCCUGAUGCAGCUAUGCCGCGUGUAUGAAGAAGGCCUUAGGGUUGUAAAGUACUUUCAUCGGGGAGGAAAAAACAAACUAAUAAUUUUAUUUCUUGACGUUACCCGAAAAAGAAGCACCGGCUAACUCCGUGCCAGCAGCCGCGGUAAUACGGAGGGUGCUAGCGUUAAUCAGAAUUACUGGGCGUAAAGAGCACGUAGGUGGUUUUUUUAAGUUCAGAUGUGAAAUCCCUGGGCUUAACCUAGGAACUGCAUUUUGAAACUGAAAUACUAGAGUAUCGUAGAGGGAGGUAGAAUUCUAGGUGUAGCGGUGAAAUGCGUAGAUAUCUGGAGGAAUACCUGUGGCGAAAGCGGCCUCCUAAACGAAUACUGACACUGAGGUGCGAAAGCGUGGGGAGCAAACAGGGAUUAGAUCC
rnacentral:rRNA from 1 species